AGGUCCUUGUAUGUUAGGCUGGUCUCAAACUCCUGGCCUCAAGCGAUCCUCCUACCUUGGCGUUCUAAAGGGAUUACUGGUAUAAGCUACUGCACCUGGCCUAUUUGUUGUUAAAUGAAAACAUAGUCUUCCUUAGGAGGAUAUUCUCUCCCACAAGUACCUUGAUGUGCAUGAGUGUUAGAAUACUACUACAUUGUAGAAUGAGGUGGGAAGAAAGUGAGAUCCUUUGAUAAAACAGAAAUCUUAAAGAACUGUAAUAAGAAUUGACAUCAGGACUCCCAUGGUACAUAUAUUGGUAUGUGAAAAAAUAAUGGCAGAAAAUGUCCCAAACUGAUGAAAAUCUUAAUCUACACAUCAAAAAAGCUCAACAACUCCAAGUAGAAUAAGCUGAAAGAGGUACACACCUACACAUGUAUUAGUCAAACUGUCAAAGAUAAAAAUGAAUCCCAAAAGCAGCCAGCAAAAAUGAUUCAUCACAUACAAGGGAUCUGCAAUGAAAUGAACAGCUGACAUAUGAUCUGAAACUAAGAAGGCCAAAAAAGUUGGAUGACAUAUUUAAAGUGCUAAAAGAAAAAGAAUCUCACACAAAAAUUCUAUAUUGAGCAAAAUUUUCUUUCAGAAGUGAAGGGGAGUUUAAGACAUUCUCAGAUAAACAAAAACUGAGAAAAUUUACUGCUAGCAGAUCUCCCUCACAAGAAAUAGUAUAGGGAAUUCUUCAGGCAAAAUUAAACAACACUAGAGAGUAACUUGAAUCCACACAAAGAAAUAAAGAGCAUAAGUAAAGUUAAGUACAUGGUGAAAUUGAGUUUGAUAUUGUCCAGUCUGAGGAACAAAAAGAAAAAAAAGCGUGAAGAAAAAUAAACAGUUUAAGAGUCCUAGGGAUCUGGUGAGAGGUAAUUGAAUCAUGGGGUAGUUCUUCCAUGCUAUUGUCAUGACAGUGAUUAAGUUCUCAUGAGAUCUGAUGGUUUUAUAAGGGCUUCUCCCUUCACUCAGCUUUCAUACUUCUCCAUGCUGCCGCCAUGUGAAGAAGGAUGUGUUUGCUUUCCCUUCCACCAUG
rnacentral:lncRNA from 1 species